rnacentral:rRNA from 1 species
CAGCCGCCGCGGGAAUACGUAGGGCGCAAGCGUUAUCCGGAAUUAUUGGGCGUAAAGAGCUCGUAGGCGGUUUGUCGCGUCUGCCGUGAAAGUCCGGGGCUCAACCCCAGAUCUGCGGUGGGUACGGGCAGACUAGAGUGAUGUAGAGGAGACUGGAAUUCCUGGUGUAGCGGUGAAAUGCGCAGAUAUCAGGAGGAACACCGAUGGCGAAGGCAGGUCUCUGGGCAUUAACUGACGCUGAGGAGCGAAAGCAUGGGGAGCGAACAGGAUUAGAUACCCCUGUAGUCCCUGUCUCUUAUAC